UUUAAUAGUGGUAUUUUCUUUGAAAAGUCAGUUUAUCAUGGAAAUGAUUUUGGCUCAUUAAAAUAAUAUUAAAUUACUAUACCAAUCAAUAUUUCAGGUCAUGACCUCUGGAUUUAAAAACUCAAGAUAAUAUUGAAUAUGAUCCAAGAGAAAAUGUGAUUUGAGACUGGAGACAAUUGUGCUUAUCAUAAUAAUAAAAACCCUGAUAGAAGAGAAGACUUUAUUCAGAAGAUUGCUACAAUUAAAAAGAAAAGCUUCUUCUAGUUUGAUUUAUAUUAUAUAG
rnacentral:lncRNA from 1 species